ACCUACGGGGGGCAGCAGUGAGGAAUUUUCGUCAAUGGGCGCAAGCCUGAACGAGCAAUGCCGCGUGAACGAGGAAGGUCUUCGGACCGUAAAGUUCUGUUGAAGGGGAAAAAGAGCGGAGAGAGGAAAUGGUCUCCGAUUGAUAUUACCCUUCGAGGAAGUCACGGCUAACUACGUGCCAGCAGCCGCGGUAAUACGUAGGUGGCGAGCGUUAUCCGGAAUGAUUGGGCGUAAAGGGUGCGUAGGCGGCCUGCUAAGUCUGGAGUGAAAGGUACCGGCUCAACCGGUACAGGCUCUGGAAACUG
rnacentral:rRNA from 1 species